UUGAACGCUAGUUCGCGGUUGACGAACCCUGUCUCUUGGACGGUGAGGUGGUGUGGCCGUUCGAUCGGUCUGUCCAAA
rnacentral:tRNA from 1 species